AAAAAAGGACAAAACCCUGAAACCGUGCUCCGUCUGUGACCUUCCAGACUGUAAAGCUUGUAUCACAACGGAAAGGAGGGAGGAGGCAUCCAGCAGGUAUCCGCUCUCCACUGUAAUACUUUCCCAUCCGUCCAUAACCUCUGGGCAUACUUCAAUAAAGGUGCGUCUCAUCUUACUUGCAAAAUGGAUUGUGUUGCUAAGGAGACAAGGAUGAUUUUUUUUUUUUACAAUUCAUUCCACUACUACUUCAUGAUAUGAUUACUGUGUGGGUUGAAUAACAAUUUUCUUUUGGUGGUGGGGCCAAGACAAAUCGUGGGGUGGAAACAAACAACUCUGAAUGCCCCGACUGCAUUGAAGUAGCAGGAUUUGAAUCAAUAUUUCUGUUCUCUGAAAAAUGCUCAUGUUCCAGAAUGACAAAUGCUUUUCCUCAUGUUUUUGACUCUGAAACGUAGAGAAAAAUCCUCAAAGUUGAUUUUGGGAGAAAUGGUUAAUUAAAACAAAUCAAUGAAACUGAAACAACAAGGUCUUUUUCUUUUAAAACAACCAUUUAGUUUCCCUCUCAAAUUUGUAUCAUUAUUUUUAAUUGGAUGUGGAAAAUCAAAAAAGGAGUUGUAAACAUUUCAUGUGAUUAGCAACCAGCCAAGAGAACAAUCUGUUUUAACAGCACAGCAGAGACAUCUGCUGUCCGUGAUGCGUUAAUACAACAGACCGGCUAAAGAAUAUAAGAGGAAGUAUUUAGUCAAAAUUUCACUGAAUGACAAAAAUUUUAUCACACAGAUUAAAGCCGGACUCGUCAUUUGAUUUUUUUUCUUUUUACAUUUUCUUUUGCAGAAAUAUGAAGAACAUAAAUGCGCUUUUGUGAAAAUGUGUUUUUGCAGCCAUAUGCCGAACUUCAAUACAACAAAGACAAACAAACCCAGCAUAAAAACCCAGUGUACACAACUCUCUGAGUACAGAGACAUUCAGAGAUUUCCCUCAGGAGUUAGUCGACCCCGAAAAAAACGCACUCACAUUCGUCAUGUGGACAGAAACACGACUACAAACGAAAUACACUUGUGUAACUGUGCCACUGUGUUUGCUGAGAAGUUUAUCAUAAGGUGAUAAUAUGUCACUUCAGUGUUCACAGCUUGUUCUACUGCCCCCAAGUGGACGGGAAAAUGAUCUGUAACGUCAACAAGUUUGGUUGCAAAGCCCCAACCGAUACUGAUGUCAGGGUGUAAAAAUAAAAAUAUACACAAUGUGUUGGUUUUUUUUAUGGCAGUGAUUUCUAAGAUGUCGGUAUCAUGCCCUUAUUACAAAGAAAUGUAAUUGAGGCCAUUCUGAGAAUAUCUUACAGUUAAAUCAUAAACAUCAUAAAUAAAUAUAAAUUUAAAGAAAAUACAAAUAUAUAGAACUUGAAUGAAGAAAAUAAACUAUUGAAUGUAAA
rnacentral:lncRNA from 1 species